rnacentral:SRP_RNA from 1 species
AGCGGGUCUCCUCGCAUGAUGAUUUUAAACAACGGGUCAGGGGCGGAAGCCAGCAGCCCACUUAAGAAAGUCAGUGCCGAGGGUUUGGCUCGCUACC